rnacentral:rRNA from 1 species
GGGUUAGACUGUCUCCUUUUUCAAAUCAGUGAAAUUAAUCUCCCCGUGAAGAAGCGGGGAUGCUCUUAUAAGACGAGAAGACCCCAUGGAGCUUCAAACCCAACUACACCCCUAACUCUUAUAGCCUCACAACCCCCCUAGGCGCCGUGUGCUUGGUUUUAGGUUGGGGCGACCGCGGAGUACAAUAAAACCUCCACAAUGAAUGGGACCACCCCCUUAUCUGAGGGCCACACCCCUAAGAAUUAGAACACUAACAUAAAAUGAUCCAUUACUUGAUCAAUGAACCAAGUUACCCUGGGGAUAACAGCGCAAUCCAUUUCAAGAGCCCCUAUCGACAAAUGGGUUUACGACCUC